UUUGAUUCCUGCUCAGGACGAACGCUGGCGGCGUGCCUAAUACAUGCAAGUCGAGCGGACAGAUGGGAGCUUGCUCCCUGAUGUUAGCGGCGGACGGGUGAGUAACACGUGGGUAACCUGCCUGUAAGACUGGGAUAACUCCGGGAAACCGGGGCUAAUACCGGAUGCUUGUUUGAACCGCAUGGUUCAAACAUAAAAGGUGGCUUCGGCUACCACUUACAGAUGGACCCGCGGCGCAUUAGCUAGUUGGUGAGGUAAUGGCUCACCAAGGCAACGAUGCGUAGCCGACCUGAGAGGGUGAUCGGCCACACUGGGACUGAGACACGGCCCAGACUCCUACGGGAGGCAGCAGUAGGGAAUCUUCCGCAAUGGACGAAAGUCUGACGGAGCAACGCCGCGUGAGUGAUGAAGGUUUUCGGAUCGUAAAGCUCUGUUGUUAGGGAAGAACAAGUGCCGUUCAAAUAGGGCGGCACCUUGACGGUACCUAACCAGAAAGCCACGGCUAACUACGUGCCAGCAGCCGCGGUAAUACGUAGGUGGCAAGCGUUGUCCGGAAUUAUUGGGCGUAAAGGGCUCGCAGGCGGUUUCUUAAGUCUGAUGUGAAAGCCCCCGGCUCAACCGGGGAGGGUCAUUGGAAACUGGGGAACUUGAGUGCAGAAGAGGAGAGUGGAAUUCCACGUGUAGCGGUGAAAUGCGUAGAGAUGUGGAGGAACACCAGUGGCGAAGGCGACUCUCUGGUCUGUAACUGACGCUGAGGAGCGAAAGCGUGGGGAGCGAACAGGAUUAG
rnacentral:rRNA from 1 species